UACGGAGGGUGCAAGCGUUAUCCGGAUUUACUGGGUUUAAAGGGUGUGUAGGUGGACUAUUAAGUCAGGGGUGAAAUCCCACGGCCCAACCGUGGAAGUGCCUCUGAUACUGCCGGCCUCGAGGGGGAUAGGGGCGUGCGGAACUCAGGGUGGAGCGGUGAAAUGCGUAGAUAUCCUGAGGAACACCGGUGGCGAAAGCGGCGCGCUGGAUCCCUUCUGACGCUGAGGCGCGAAAGCCAGGGGAGCAAACGGG
rnacentral:rRNA from 1 species